CACCCCACCCUUCUCGCUCCCGAUCCCAUCUCCCCACCGGCCUCAACUUGGCUAUGGCGACGGGGAUCAACAACUCCUCUCCUUUGCCUUCUCAAUCGCCGCCCGCCACACGCCUCCCCGCGUCCCUCCUUCAUUCCCGUCCUCGAUUGGGCCGCCGCCGCCACCGCGCCAUCAGGGACGCCGGGGGAGUGCAACCACCGCGCCGCCAGGGUACGCCGCGUGUACCGGCAAUGCGUGAGUCGCCGCGGGUACCGCGCCGGUCGCUGCUUCUGACGAUGCGGGAGCCGCCCCAUCCGGCGAGGACGAGGGGCCCCGUCACCGCUGAUCCUCAGGGCGCAUGCUGCAUCUGAAGCCUCCCUAAUGAUCUCGUCCAUGGAGCACUGGAGUAUUGUUGUUGCGCCACUCCUUUUGUUCAUCGCCAAGAAGCAGGAGCAAGGCGAGAGGAAUUGUCCAACUGCCUUAAUUCAAGUUCAUUCUGAACAACACAUAAUUUUUCAAUGUACAGAAAAAGAUCCAAAAGCCCAUUGUUAUAUAGAAAAAAACUGAUUCAACUCAUAGGGUUGUGCAUGGCAUUUAUUAAUUGUAGGGCCCCAUUUUGCAUUUCGCACCGGGGCCUUGAAUUUCUGGAAUGCCCAUGCGUGUCGAAGAGGAUGCACGGCGCUGCAUCGAUGGCCACCAUGACGGGGCAAGCUGAUGGCAUCAAGCAUGAUGUAUGGAUGUGGGGUCUUCCUUUACGUGAUGUUGGAUGGUACCUACCCUUUUGAGGAUCCAGAAGAUCACAAGAAUUUCAAAAUGAAAGUUCAGUGCUCAUUUUCGGACUUCCACCUUAUGAAUCAGUUUACCAAGAUGUGGAUGGUCAGGAGAUGCGAGCCCAACAAAGGUUUUGCUCAAGGCUACAACUUGAACCUCAAUCCUACAUGAAAAUUUAAUUUGUGCCAUGAAAAAUUCAGUUAGCUUUACGAUUCUAUUUUCGGUAUUCAUUUCUAUUAGAAGUUAAAAGAGUAUUUAACCAAAAACUACCACAAUUCACGGAUCCGUGACGAAAAACUACCACUUUACGAUUUUG